GCCUAAAGCGUCCGUAGCCGGCUCUGUUAGUUUUCGGUUAAAUCCAUAUGCUCAACAUAUGGGCUGCCGGGAAUACUGCAAAGCUAGGGAGUGGGAGAGGUAGACGGUACUCCGUAGGAAGGGGUAAAAUCCUUUGAUCUAUGGAUGACCACCUGUGGCGAAGGCGGUCUACCAGAACACGUUCGACGGUGAGGGAUGAAAGCUGGGGGAGCAAACCGGAUUAGAUACCCGGGUAGUCCCAGCUGUAAACUAUGCAAACUCAGUGAUGCAUUGGCUUGCGGCCAGUGCAGUGCCGCAGAGAAGUCGUUAAGUUUGCCGCCUGGGAAGUACGUACGCAAGUAUGAAACUUAAAGGAAUUGGCGGGGGAGCACCACAAGGGGUGAAGCCUGCGGUUCAAUUGGAGUCAACGCCAGAAAUCUUACCCGGAGAGACAGCAGAAUGAAGGUCAAGCUGAAGACUUUACCAGACAAGCUGAGAAGUGGUGCAUGGCCGUCGCCAGCUCGUGCCGUGAGGUGUCCUGUUAAGUCAGGUAACGAGCGAGAUCCCUGCCUCUAGUUGCCACCAUUGCUCUCAGGAGCAGUGGGGCGAAUUAGCGGGACUGCCGCAGUUAAUGCGGAGGAAGGAGGGGGCCACGGCAGGUCAGUAUGCCCCGAA
rnacentral:rRNA from 1 species